AUCUGCAGAGAUCAAAGUUUAUAAUGCCACUCCGUAAAGAUAUCAAAGAUCAAAUACAUCUCCUUUUGCUUUCAUUCCUAUAAAGGAGUAAUUUCAUCAUCAGUUUCAGUUUAUCAGAUUAUCUACAUGUUCUGUGUGAUCCGCAAGAUCAGUCUGAUUCUUUUGUGGAUUGCUCAAUGAUUGACAUUGAUAUUCAUGGCAUUACAAGAAAGUGCAGGGCACACGCACCUUAACGAUCAACGUGGUGGCGCCGAACAUAUUAGGAGUAUCUAUGCCAUUGAGAUAGGCUUUGAUUUCUGGUAUGCCAGGCCCAGCGGCGGUGGGAGCAAAGCAUACACAGAGAACAGCAGCAACAAAAGUGAGAAGGAAAUUUGCAGUGGUAAAAGGAAGAAAACCAGGUGUGUAAUCGGCAUGAAUGAACAUACCUUUCUUCUUUGAUGUAACCGACCACUUUCAAAAGCUUGUAGCCAGCAAUAUUUUCAAUGGCGAGAUUGAUGAGAGUGGCAAUGAUCCCUGUAAGAAGUCCAACAAGACAAGCCAAUGUCCAUUUGGAGAAUAUGUACUGCAACACUUGAACUUUGGAUCUGCUUCUCCAAUCGUGCUUAAACAGAUCGUUCUCAUUGAUCCUGAAUUCAAACCAAACCAAAUAACCAAAAAUUGAAGGAACUCAAGGAGAAAUCAAAGCUUUCAAUGCUAUGGUCUUACUCGUAAUCCAAGCUUUCAAUCAGAGAAACCUUGGCCCCAACAAUGGCAAGAGGACUAGAAGAGAGAGUUCUGCUUCUCUUGAGAAGGGGUUCGUUCAAGGGAUUGCUUUCUGGGUCUCUUUCUUCUUGUUGAGGCUCUGCUUCCAUGGCGUCUGUGAGAGUUGAUUCCGCGACAAGGCUGGAAUUUUCCUCCAUUGGAGCAGUGAAAAGAACACAAAAAUGGGGUAGAUGAGGGUUAUGAACAGAAGAUGAAGUUUAGGGAUUGGAAGAAAGUGCAAAGCUUCCCCUGUGUUGUAGGAUUUUAAUGCAACAAAGUUAUCGCAA